CCUACGGGAGGCUGCAGUGGGGAAUAUUGGGCAAUGGGCGCAAGCCUGACCCAGCAACGCCGCGUGAGGGAAGAAGGUUUUCGGAUUGUAAACCUCUGUCUUCGGUGACGAAACGAGACGGUAGCCGAGGAGGAAGCCACGGCUAACUACGUGCCAGCAGCCGCGGUCAUACGUAGGUGGCAAGCGUUGUCCGGAAUUACUGGGUGUAAAGGGAGCGUAGGCGGGAAAACAAGUUGAAUGUUUAAGGUACGGGCUCAACCUGUACAAGCGUUCAAAACUGUUUUUCUUGAGUGGAGUAGAGGUAAGCGGAAUUCCUAGUGUAGCGGUGAAAUGCGUAAAUAUUAGGAGGAACACCAGUGGCGAAGGCGGCUUACUGGGCUUUAACUGACGCUGAGGCUCGAAAGCGUGGGUAGCAAACAGGAUUAGAUACCCUAGUAGUC
rnacentral:rRNA from 1 species